UAUAGCCCUGGCUGUCCUGGAACUCACUCUGUAGAACAGGCUGGCCUCGAACUCAGAAAUCUGCCUGCCUCCGCCUCUCAAGUGCUGGGAUUAAAGGCUUGCGCCACCACGCCCGUCUGUGUGGACUUUCUAAGAAAAAAAAAAGUGAGCAGACACUGUAGGGAUCAGAUGACCAACACAACCACUUCUCAGCCGUGAGCUCCAUCAUGGACACUGUGACCACCACAGCUGCUACCACAUCCUCACCAUUAUCAUCCCCACCAUUGCCACAUCUCCAAGCAUCACCCAUCAGCCCAUGACCACGGGCAGGACCCCACUUUACCUCUCCAUUUUGACCCCUACACAAACAUCCCCAGUUUCACCCCACCCUGAUCUCCAUACUGCCAACUCCAGCAAUGUCACCACUGUCAUCCCUACCAUUGCUCCACUGUCCAUAUCAGUGUUGCCAAUGUCACCAUCCACACACACACACCUCUCCACCCCCUGCCACCUUUGCAAUCAUGAUCCUUAGUUCCAGGAGGCUUCCCUUCUGUCAGCAUAAAGAGAGACAGGGUAGGUCAGGUCCUGUCUAUGCUCUUGGUUGUAUCCUUAGGGAGAUUUUAAUGGGACUCCCUGGCUGGUGAGAAAGAUGGAAUCCCAAUCCAGA
rnacentral:lncRNA from 1 species